UCGCUCGUAUCUCAGCUGGAUAGAGUACCUGGCUACGAACCCGGCGGUCGGAGGUUCGAAUCCUCCCGAGCGCGCCA
rnacentral:tRNA from 1 species